rnacentral:rRNA from 1 species
GAUGAACGCUGGCGGCGUGCCUAAUACAUGCAAGUCGAGCGAACAGAUGAGGAGCUUGCUCCUCUGACGUUAGCAGCGGACGGGUGAGUAACACGUGGAUAACCUACCUAUAAGACUGGGAUAACUUCGGGAAACCGGAGCUAAUACCGGAUAAUAAAUUGAACCGCAUGGUUCAAUAGUGAAAGACGGUUUUGCUGUCACUUAUAGAUGGAUCCGCGCCGCAUUAGCUAGUUGGUAAGGUAACGGCUUACCAAGGCAACGAUGCGUAGCCGACCUGAGAGGGUGAUCGGCCACACUGGAACUGAGACACGGUCCAGACUCCUACGGGAGGCAGCAGUAGGGAAUCUUCCGCAAUGGGCGAAAGCCUGACGGAGCAACGCCGCGUGAGUGAUGAAGGUCUUCGGAUCGUAAAACUCUGUUAUUAGGGAAGAACAAAUGUGUAAGUAACUAUGCACGUCUUGACGGUACCUAAUCAGAAAGCCACGGCUAACUACGUG